UUUAUUAAAAACAUGGCCUUUUGAUUAUAAUUUAAGGUCUGGCCUGCCCAAUGAUUCGAGGAUUAAAUGGCCGCGGUAGCCUGACCGUGCAAAGGUAGCAUAAUCAUUAGUUUUUUAAUUGAAAGCUGGAAUGAAAGGUCGGAUGAGAGAAUGACUGUCUCUGUUUAAAUUUAUUAGAAUUUUAUCUUUAAGUAAAAAAGCUUAAAUGAUUCUGGAAGACGAGAAGACCCUAUAGAGUUUUACUUAUUUGUUUAUCAUUAUUUUUAGGAUUUACGAUCUUGAUGAAUAAAUGAGUUUGGUUGGGGUGAUCGAAAAAUUAGAGUAACUUUUUUUGUAUUAAAACAUUAAUUAAUGAAUAUUUGAUCCUUAGUUGAAGAUUAUAAGAUAAAAUUACCUUAGGGAUAACAGCGUAAUCUUUUUUGAGAGUUCAAAUCGAAAAAAGGGGUUGCGACCUCGAUGUUGGAUUAAAAUAAAUUUUUGGUGUAGGUGCUAAAAAAAUUAGGUCUGUUCGACCUUUAAAAUUUUACAUGAUCUGAGUUUAAACCGGCGUGAGCCAGGU
rnacentral:rRNA from 1 species